UGUAUUAUUUGAUUUUUUUGAAGGGAAUCAACUUUUGCAAAGUGUGGAGGCAGACAGUUUUUCACAUUCUGUUUUUUUGUCAUAUUUGCAAUAUGUCCUGGAGACUCAAUCUUACCUGUUAGAAAGUUAGAAGAGUAACAGUGUUUCCUUUGCAAAGUACUACAAAAUUGAAGUAUCUAACAAAGGAGAUAAGGCUGUUUGCCAAUUGGUCACACCCUUUUGCUGUGGGUGUGAAUUACCAGCCAGUUUUAUUUUCAAGCUAGCAGUCACUUUUAAACUCAAGCAGUAGAUCUCAAAGUUUGCUCAGAUAAAGAAAAACUGCAAGAUGCCUGUGUCAUACUCUACCAGCAUGCGUUUUAAAUUUCCUAUACUGGCAAUUGCACUAGAAGUUGUGAUCAUUAUUUUAUACGGAGUUUUUAUUACCUAUGAUGAUGGAGCUAAUUCUAGACUUGUACAUAACAACACUGACGAACUAGAACGUUUCUACAAAAUCUAUCCAAAAAUUGUUGAGGAAACUCAGUAGUCUGGGCGCAUCUGUGGAGAGAAAGUGGACUUAAUUUUUUGGGUCCAGUAACCCUUCUUUAGAUCUGGAGAAGUUUCUGUUUUCGUUUCUGAUUUCCAGCAUCUGCAGUUCUUUGGUUUUGUUUUGCAUUGUUCUUCAUAGAAUUGAAGUUUAUGGAGCAUUUGGACAUUGCAGAGUUUGAUAUUUUCUUUUUCUUACUUUUUUUUUCUAAUUUUUAGAACAUACUGGUUUAUUUCCUUGGUCUCUUCCUUAAAGUGUAACUUAAUAUUCAUCAAAAUGUGAGUUAUGUUUGAUUUGCAAAUGUGUGUAAAAGGUGUAGUUGUGUAAAAUAUUUAAGUUAUUUAUUGGAGCAUCUAAUAAUUCAAGAAAGUAUGUUUCCACAAGUAUAAUCCAAAUCCUGACUAAAUUUUGGAAGGUACGCUUUUUUAAGUCAUUUGCAAAUUCAUGGUAAAUUCCAGAAAUACUGUUCUUAAAAGCUGGAGAUUAAAAACUAAAAAUGCUGAACUCUGCAAUUAAAAAUAGAAAUCAUUGAGAAAGCCAAACAUCUGCCAGCAUCUAAAAAUUUAGAUAUGACUUAAACAUGUUCCCAUUUCUGACCUUGAUGAACCAUUAUGCAGUUCUAGUUUUCACCUUUGCAUUUUUUUGUGUAAAUGCAUAUACAAGUUUUAAAAAAUGAGAGAUUAGCCUAAAACUACUAAUUUAAUGAAGAAACUAUUUUCUGCAAGGUCAUUCUUUUCGUGUAAGUAAUCCAAUUAUGCUUCUAGUUUGGAUGCUUUUCACUGAUGUUGCACAAUUCUAUGCUCAUUAUUUUGAAUGGAAUAAAAAUUGAGCAAGCUGUACAGCAGGCGAAUGAACUAUAAGUUACUACGCAGCCAGUGAAAUUACAAAUUAACCCCACUAUCUUUAUCUGUGCUGUUUUGUGCAUGCAUAUGUCUUCAUUUUUGUUUGUAAAAUAUGAUAAGAUGUGGCAAAAAUAUGAGAUAAGCAGGACAAUAUUUAAAUAAACUAUGAGUUAAAGCCCACACCAUUUAUCCACCAUUCACUCCAAGGCUCCCUGAACGUUAUAUCAUUGAAAUGUUUCUGAUAUUCUAUAACUUGUAAUGAAUAAAGUUGAUGCUUGUGAGAAAA